GAAAGCCGUGUGCAAUGAAAAAUGCAUGCACGGCUUGGGGAGGGAUUUUUUAUUCUUUUAUUUGAUUAAAGAAUGCAAUUUCUACUCCAU
rfam:Medicago truncatula strain A17 chromosome 4, whole genome shotgun sequence.